AUGGUAUAGGUUGUUACCAGAGAUGUAGCCCGUUUUGUAACACUCCAAAGUGUGAUUUUAUAAGCGGUGCGUGCGUAGACGGGUGCAAAACUGACUGGGAAGGAAUGCAGUGCCUAGAAUUACAUGAUGAGAAUCGUCUGCCUGAAGACUUAUCCACGUACCUAUACGUCAUUGAUGGAAUGAUAAUUGCUGUAGUAAUUAACAGCAUGGUUUUAGUCGUUUACAUCAUAUUUCUGAGGAGAAAAAGGGUGCAAAAAAUGAAAAAUAAAGAACAUGGUCUCAAUGACGUUGCAUUCACAAUAGAUCAAAACAGAUGCAUAUCAGUUAUAACUCACAAGGGAAAUCAAUAUCAAGAACUAUAGAAAGUUGAUUCUCAAACCGAUAUGUGAGAAUUUUCUUGGCUUAAAUCGGACGGAAAAGAAGAGGAAUCACUUUUUGCGCUGAAAACAAGACAUAUUUUACCUAUGUAUCUUUCACUUAUUUUGAAUAAGAUGUUAAGUAUCAAUGAUUAAUUCUCGUCAUCAAAAAAAAACUACAAAUAUUAUACAACAUAACACAAAAUAUAUUGCGGGAUCUUUCAAAAAGAAAAUCCUGCUUAGCUUCUUUUUUUUAUCAUUAAAUAUCAUAGUUAUUCA